UACGUAGGGGGCUAGCGUUGUCCGGAAUCAUUGGGCGUAAAGAGCGUGUAGGCGGCCCGGUAAGUCCGCUGUAAAAGUCCAAGGCUCAACCUUUGAAUGUCAGUGGAUACUGCCGGGCUAGAGUACGGAAGAGGCAAGUGGAAUUCCUGGUGUAGCGGUGGAAUGCGCAGAUAUCAGGAGGAACACCUAUAGCGAAGGCAGCUUGCUGGGACGUUACUGACGCUAAGGCGCGAAAGCGUGGGGAGCGAACAGG
rnacentral:rRNA from 1 species